GAUGAACGCUGGCGGCGUGCCUAAUACAUGCAAGUCGAACGAAACUUCUUUAUCACCGAGUGCUUGCACUCACCGAUAAAGAGUUGAGUGGCGAACGGGUGAGUAACACGUGGGCAACCUGCCCAAAAGAGGGGGAUAACACUUGGAAACAGGUGCUAAUACCGCAUAACCAUAGUUACCGCAUGGUAACUAUGUAAAAGGUGGCUAUACUACCGCUUUUGGAUGGGCCCGCGGCGCAUUAGCUAGUUGGUAGGGUAAAGGCUUACCAAGGCAAUGAUGCGUAGCCGAAUUGAGAGGGUGAUCGGCCACAUUGGGACUGAGACACGGCCCAAACUCCUACGGGAGGCAGCAGUAGGGAAUCUUCCACAAUGGGCGAAAGCCUGAUGGAGCAACGCCGCGUGGGUGAAGAAGGUCUUCGGAUCGUAAAACCCUGUUGUUAGAGAAGAAAGUGCGUGAGAGUAACUGUUCACGUUUCGACGGUAUCUAACCAGAAAGCCACUGCUAACUACGUG
rnacentral:rRNA from 1 species